GGCAACGUGGCGGAGUGGUUAACGCGAUUGACUAGAACGCAUGUCUACAUCAAUUUCCUUCGGGAGCGCCUGUUCGAAUCAGGUCGUUGUCG
rfam:Trichosporon oleaginosus strain IBC0246 unplaced genomic scaffold CC85scaffold_77, whole genome shotgun sequence.